GUGGCAGCGGCGUGCAGAAUCCCGGGAUGGAGAAUUUGGGGAUGGGAUAAUUUAGGGAUAAUUUUGGGAUGGAGAAUUUUGGGAUGGGUUAUUCCGGGUACCGUUGGAGCAGGAGCUGAACCAGCCCCAGGUGGCCGCAGGUGGCGGCGGCGUGCAGAAUCCCGGGAUGGAGAAUUUCAGGAUGGAGAAUUUUGGGAUAAUUUUGGGAUGGAGAAUUUCGGGAUGGGAUAAUUUAGGGAUAAUUUUGGGAUGGGUUAUUCCGGGUACCGUUGGAGCAGGAGCUGCACCAGCCCCAGGUGGCCGCAGGUGGCGGCGGCGUGCAGCGGCGUCCAGAGCUCGGCGUCGCGCGCGUUGACGUCGGCGCCGGAAUCCAGGAGCAGCCGGACCAGCGGGAGAGAGUCGUCGAUGCAGCUCUGGGAACGGCGGGGACGAUGGGAAUGGCGGGAAAAUGGGAAUGGGAACAAUGGGAACAAUGGGAAUGGGAACAAUGGGAACAAUGGGAAUGGGAACAAUGGGAACAAUGGGAACAAUGGGAAUGGGAACAAUGGGAACAAUGGCAAUGGGAACAAUGGGAAUGGGAACAAUGGGAACAAUGGGAAUGGGAACAAUGGGAUUGGGAACAAUGGGAAUGGGAACAAUGGGAAUGGGAUUGGGAACAAUGGGAUUGGGAAU
rnacentral:lncRNA from 1 species